UACGGGGGGAGCAAGCGUUGUUCGGAAUUACUGGGCGUAAAGGGCGCGUAGGCGGUAGAGUAAGUCGAAUGUGAAAUACCUUGGCUUAACCAAGGAAGUGCAUUCGAUACUGCUCAACUUGAGUCCCAAAGAGGGCAAUGGAAUUCCCAGUGUAGAGGUGAAAUUCGUAGAUAUUGGGAGGAACAUCAGUGGCGAAGGCGAUUGCCUGGUUGGAGACUGACGCUGAGGCGCGAAAGCGUGGGGAGCAAACAGG
rnacentral:rRNA from 1 species